UACAGAGGUCCCAAGCGUUGUUCGGAUUCAUUGGGCGUAAAGGGUGCGUAGGUGGCGUCGUAAGUCGGGUGUGAAAUCUCGGGGCUUAACUCCGAAACUGCAUUCGAUACUGCGGUGCUUGAGGACUGGAGAGGAGACUGGAAUUUACGGUGUAGCAGUGAAAUGCGUAGAGAUCGUAAGGAAGACCAGUGGCGAAGGCGGCAUCCUGGACCAAUUCUGACGCUGAGGAGCGAAAGCCAGGGGAGCAAACGGG
rnacentral:rRNA from 1 species